GAGCCUGGCUGCAGCUCUUAGACCUCAUUUAAGGGCUGACUGCCACGGGGGAAGGAGCUCUGGUUGGAGAUGUCUCCUUGGCGAAGCUUUCUCUUGUGAACCUGGAAUCCUCUGAUAAGGGGUGGGGCUGCAGGCUAAGGUAUCCCUUCAUCUGUGUGGAUGUCACUGGCAACAUUUGGCUUAGAUUUGUACGUCUUUUGUCUCACUCUGUGGGAAAGAGAAGAAGGAGGAAUCCUGUCACUUUUGGCAGGAACUACUGUGGUUGAAGGUGAAAAGACCGAGAAGAAGUAAAGCAGGUGAUGCUGAGAAACACGCCUCAUGAUGACUUAUGCAUACCUCACAUUUCAUAUUAAUUCUUCCUUUGGGUCAAAACUAGACCGAAUACUUGAAACCAUGCCUGGAAAUCGCACUGUUAUAAAAACAGUUCAGCUGUGGUGGCCGUGGUCAGAACACCCUGUGGCAGAUCCUGGCAGUGAUUGUGAAUGAAAGAACUGACAACAAAUUGCUUGAUAUCAAAACCAUUCUGGUGGGUAUCUACAAGCCUUGGGUGAUGCGGAUGGAAUC